rnacentral:tRNA from 2 species
GGGGGUUUAGCUCAGUUGGUAGAGCGUUCGCUUAGCAUCGCCUAAUUUGCGAAAGGUCGCGUGUUCGACUCAUGCAGUCUCCA